rnacentral:rRNA from 4 species
GGUUAAGCGACUAAGCGUACACGGUGGAUGCCCUGGCAGUCAGAGGCGAUGAAGGGCGUGCUAAUCUGCGAUAAGCGCCGGUAAGGUGAUAUGAACCGUUAUAACCGGCGAUACCCGAAUGGGGAAACCCAGUGUGACUCGUCACACUAUCAUUAACUGAAUCCAUAGGUUAAUGAGGCGAACCGGGGGAACUGAAACAUCUAAGUACCCCGAGGAAAAGAAAUCAACCGAGAUUCCCCCAGUAGCGGCGAGCGAACGGGGAGGAGCCCAGAGCCUGAAUCAGCAUGUGUGUUAGUGGAAGCGUCUGGAAAGGCGCGCGAUACAGGGUGACAGCCCCGUACACAAAAGCGCAUGUGCUGUGAGCUCGAUGAGUAGGGCGGGACACGUGGUAUCCUGUCUGAAUAUGGGGGGACCAUCCUCCAAGGCUAAAUACUCCUGACUGACCGAUAGUGAACCAGUACCGUGAGGGAAAGGCGAAAAGAACCCCGGCGAGGGGAGUGAAAAAGAACCUGAAACCGUGUACGUACAAGCAGUGGGAGCCCCACCACUAAGCCAGUGGUGAACUCCACAUACGCAUCCUUUGCUGAGGAUACGGUUAACGGAGCGAAAGCGACGUUCAACCGCAAAAGAAGCAGAGGGGGCUUAGUGGUGGGGUGACUGCGUACCUUUUGUAUAAUGGGUCAGCGACUUAUAUUCUGUAGCAAGGUUAACCGAAUAGGGGAGCCGGAGGGAAACCGAGUCUUAAUUGGGCGUUAAGUUGCAGGGUAUAGACCCGAAACCCGGUGAUCUAGCCAUGGGCAGGUUGAAGGUUGGGUAACACUAACUGGAGGACCGAACCGACUAAUGUUGAAAAAUUAGCGGAUGACCUGUGGCUGGGGGUGAAAGGCCAAUCAAACCGGGAGAUAGCUGGUUCUCCCCGAAAGCUAUUUAGGUAGCGCCUCGUGAAUUCAUCUCCGGGGGUAGAGCACUGUUUCGGCUAGGGGGCCAUCCCGGCUUACCAACCCGAUGCAAACUGCGAAUACCGGAGAAUGUUAUCACGGGAGACACACGGCGGGUGCUAACGUCCGUCGUGAAGAGGGAAACAACCCAGACCGCCAGCUAAGGUCCCAAAGUCAUGGUUAAGUGGGAAACGAUGUGGGAAGGCCCAGACAGCCAGGAUGUUGGCUUAGAAGCAGCCAUCAUUUAAAGAAAGCGUAAUAGCUCACUGGUCGAGUCGGCCUGCGCGGAAGAUGUAACGGGGCUAAACCAUGCACCGAAGCUGCGGCAGCGACACUGUGUGUUGUUGGGUAGGGGAGCGUUCUGUAAGCCUGUGAAGGUGUGUCGUGAGGCAUGCUGGAGGUAUCAGAAGUGCGAAUGCUGACAUAAGUAACGAUAAAGCGGGUGAAAAGCCCGCUCGCCGGAAGACCAAGGGUUCCUGUCCAACGUUAAUCGGGGCAGGGUGAGUCGACCCCUAAGGCGAGGCCGAAAGGCGUAGUCGAUGGGAAACGGGUUAAUAUUCCCGUACUUGGUGUUACUGCGAAGGGGGGACGGAGAAGGCUAUGUUGGCCGGGCGACGGUUGUCCCGGUUUAAGCGUGUAGGUGUGUGUUCCAGGUAAAUCCGGUUCACUUUAACACUGAGGCGUGACGACGAGGCACUACGGUGCUGAAGCAACAAAUGCCCUGCUUCCAGGAAAAGCCUCUAAGCAUCAGGUAACAUCAAAUCGUACCCCAAACCGACACAGGUGGUCAGGUAGAGAAUACCAAGGCGCUUGAGAGAACUCGGGUGAAGGAACUAGGCAAAAUGGUGCCGUAACUUCGGGAGAAGGCACGCUGACACGUAGGUGAAGUGAUUUACUCAUGGAGCUGAAGUCAGUCGAAGAUACCAGCUGGCUGCAACUGUUUAUUAAAAACACAGCACUGUGCAAACACGAAAGUGGACGUAUACGGUGUGACGCCUGCCCGGUGCCGGAAGGUUAAUUGAUGGGGUCAGCGCAAGCGAAGCUCCUGAUCGAAGCCCCGGUAAACGGCGGCCGUAACUAUAACGGUCCUAAGGUAGCGAAAUUCCUUGUCGGGUAAGUUCCGACCUGCACGAAUGGCGUAAUGAUGGCCAGGCUGUCUCCACCCGAGACUCAGUGAAAUUGAACUCGCUGUGAAGAUGCAGUGUACCCGCGGCAAGACGGAAAGACCCCGUGAACCUUUACUAUAGCUUGACACUGAACAUUGAGCCUUGAUGUGUAGGAUAGGUGGGAGGCUUUGAAGUGUGGACGCCAGUCUGCAUGGAGCCGACCUUGAAAUACCACCCUUUAAUGUUUGAUGUUCUAACGUGGACCCGUUACCCGGGUUGCGGACAGUGUCUGGUGGGUAGUUUGACUGGGGCGGUCUCCUCCUAAAGAGUAACGGAGGAGCACGAAGGUUGGCUAAUCCUGGUCGGACAUCAGGAGGUUAGUGCAAUGGCAUAAGCCAGCUUGACUGCGAGCGUGACGGCGCGAGCAGGUGCGAAAGCAGGUCAUAGUGAUCCGGUGGUUCUGAAUGGAAGGGCCAUCGCUCAACGGAUAAAAGGUACUCCGGGGAUAACAGGCUGAUACCGCCCAAGAGUUCAUAUCGACGGCGGUGUUUGGCACCUCGAUGUCGGCUCAUCACAUCCUGGGGCUGAAGUAGGUCCCAAGGGUAUGGCUGUUCGCCAUUUAAAGUGGUACGCGAGCUGGGUUUAGAACGUCGUGAGACAGUUCGGUCCCUAUCUGCCGUGGGCGCUGGAGAACUGAGGGGGGCUGCUCCUAGUACGAGAGGACCGGAGUGGACGCAUCACUGGUGUUCGGGUUGUCAUGCCAAUGGCACUGCCCGGUAGCUAAAUGCGGAAGAGAUAAGUGCUGAAAGCAUCUAAGCACGAAACUUGCCCCGAGAUGAGUUCUCCCUGAGACUUAGAGUCUCCUGAAGGAACGUUGAAGACGACGACGUUGAUAGGCCGGGUGUGUAAGCGCAGCGAUGCGUUGAGCUAACCGGUACUAAUGAACCGUGAGGCUUAACCUU